CACGGAGUUAGCCGGUGCUUAUUCAUCUGGUACCGUCAGGCCCCUUAGAAAAGGAGUGUUUCGUCCCAGAUAAAAGAAGUUUACAAUCCAGAGGACCUUCAUCCUCCACGCGGCAUGGCUGGUUCAGACUUGCGUCCAUUGACCAAUAUUCCUUACUGCUGCCUCCCGUAGGAGUCGGGCCCGUGUCUCAGUGCCCGUGUGGCUGAUCAUGCUCUCACAUCAGCUACUGAUCGCAGGCUUGGUGGGCCGUUACCCCGCCAACUACCUAAUCAGCCGUACGCCCAUCUUUAAGUGCCGGAGCUUUAAUAGUAAAGAGAUGCCUCUUCACCAUAUUAUGGGGUAUUAAUCCAAGUUUCCCUGGGCUAUUCCCCGCUUAAAGGAAGGUUGCGUACGUAUUGCGCACCCGUUUGCCGGUCGCCAGCGAGUAUUGCUACCCCUGCUGCCCCACGACUUGCAUGUAUUAAGCCUGCCGCUAGCGUUCAUCCUGAGCCAGGAUCAAACU
rnacentral:rRNA from 1 species